UCUCACUCCCGCUCGGCGCGCCUCCCUCCGCAACCCCACAGCGUCGCCCCGCGACUCCCCCACACAAGCCCGACUCCCUCGUGGCGCACGCCGCCUCCCCUGGACAGCUAGAUCUCGGUUGCCCCGGGGGACCCACGCCCUGCAGCUGCCGGAUCUAGCUCCCGCGACGCCCGAGCACGGAUCCUGCCGCAUCCAUCCGGCGACUUCGGUGGCUGCUCGUCCAAAUCGGCCGGGAUGCCGCUCCCUCCCCGACUCCCGCAUGUGUGCUGCAGCGAGGCAGCAGGCGAACUGCCUCCUCUCCGGCGUGGGAGCUCGCCGGCACCGAAGUCCGGCGACUCCACCAGCGGCGCAACUCGGCAGCACGUGCCGUUCACCCCCGCGAUGCGCAGGGGGCGCGUGCAGUACUUCAUGGAGGCACAUGCAGUUCUUGAUGGAUUCGGGGCUUGAGGUCAUGUUGGCGUGGUUUGCAUUUACAUGUCCAGCACGCGUACUCACACGAUGGUGUGUGUGUGUAGAGCACGUCCACGCGGCACGCGGCGAUGCAGUCCGGCUGGUGCCAACGUGCACUUCCCGAGCGGGACCAUGAAGUUUACUUCCUGGCGUGAUGUAAUUUCUUUGAAUUUUCAAGUUUUGUUCACCAUGUAGUUCAGUUCAGUUGCGAAACAGAAAAAAGGCACCCGAUUCCAAAAAAUUAACUCUAUGCUGCAGCACGACGCAUAGAGUUCAAUUUCAUGUCGGAUUUGCAAUGCAGUGUUGCUGCUGUGCUGUCAAAGACUCGGGUGUGUUUUGAUGCAAUUCCCUAGUCUCUCAUCUGCAGCUCAUUACCCCUCUAUAUGAAGUGCAAUUUGUUUCAUA